rnacentral:rRNA from 1 species
GCCUACGGGGGGCAGCAGUGGGGAAUAUUGCACAAUGGGGGAAACCCUGAUGCAGCGACGCCGCGUGAGUGAGGAAGUAUUUCGGUAUGUAAAGCUCUAUCAGCAGGGAAGAAAAUGACGGUACCUGACUAAGAAGCCCCGGCUAACUACGUGCCAGCAGCCGCGGUAAUACGUAGGGGGCAAGCGUUAUCCGGAUUUACUGGGUGUAAAGGGAGCGUAGACGGAAGAACAAGUUGGUUGUGAAAUCCCUCGGCUCAACUGAGGAACUGCAACCAAAACUAUUCUCCUUGAGUGUCGGAGAGGAA